rnacentral:rRNA from 1 species
ACAGAGGGUGCGAGCGUUGUCCGGAAUCACUGGGCGUAAAGGGCGCGUAGGCGGCUUGAUAAGGUUGCGGUGAAAGCCCGGGGCUCAACCCCGGGUCGGCCGUGGCAACUGUCGAGCUGGAGCACUGUAGAGGCAGACGGAAUUCCGGGUGUAGCGGUGGAAUGCGUAGAGAUCCGGAGGAAGACCGGUGGCGAAGGCGGUCUGCUGGGCAGUUUCUGACACUGAGGCGCGACAGCGUGGGGAGCAAACAGGA